rnacentral:rRNA from 1 species
GAAUAUUGCACAAUGGGGGAAACCCUGAUGCAGCCAUGCCGCGUGUGUGAAGAAGGCCUUCGGGUUGUAAAGCACUUUAAGUUGGGAGGAAAGCCUUUGUGUUAAUAGCACAGAGGGGUGACGUUACCAACAGAAUAAGCACCGGCUAACUCGGAGCCAGCAGCCGCGGUAAUACGGAGGGUGCAAGCGUUAAUCGGAAUUACUGGGCGUAAAGCGCGCGUAGGCGGUUUGUUAAGUCAGAUGUGAAAUCCCCGGGCUCAACCUGGGAAUGGCAUUUGAGACUGGCAGGCUAGAGUGUGGUAGAGGUGAGUGGAAUUUCAGGUGUAGCGGUGAAAUGCGUAGAGAUCUGAAGGAACAUCAGUGGCGAAGGCGACUCACUGGGCCAUUACUGACGCUGAGGUGCGAAAGCGUGGGUAGCAAACAGG